UACGGAGGGUGCAAGCGUUAUCCGGAUUCACUGGGUUUAAAGGGUGCGUAGGAGGGCAGGUAAGUCAGUGGUGAAAUCCCCGAGCUUAACUUGGGAACUGCCGUUGAUACUAUCUGUCUUGAAUACCGUGGAGGUGAGCGAAAUAUGUCAUGUAGCGGUAAAAUGCUUAGAUAUGACAUAGAACACCAAUUGCGAAGGCAGCUCGCUACACGAAUAUUGACUCUGAGGCACGAAAGCGUGGGGAUCAAACAGG
rnacentral:rRNA from 1 species